AAUGUGUAGUGUAGCGGUGAAAUGCUUAGAUAUUACACAGAACACCGAUUGCGAAGGCAGCUUACUAUACCAUUAUUGACGCUGAGGCACGAAAGCGUGGGUAGCGAACAGGAUUAGAUACCCUGGUAGUCCACGCCGUAAACGAUGAUUACUGGUUGUGUGCGAUACACAGUGCGCGACUGAGGGAAACCAUUAAGUAAUCCACCUGGGGAGUACGUUCGCAAGAAUGAAACUCAAAGGAAUUGACGGGGGCCCGCACAAGCGGAGGAACAUGUGGUUUAAUUCGAUGAUACGCGAGGAACCUUACCUGGGCUUAAAUGUAGAGUGCAUUAUUUGGAAACAGAUAUUUCCUUCGGGACUCUUUACAAGGUGCUGCAUGGUUGUCGUCAGCUCGUGCCGUGAGGUGUCGGGUUAAGUCCCAUAACGAGCGCAACCCCUAUCGUUAGUUGCUAGCAGGUAAUGCUGAGGACUCUAGCGAAACUGCCGGUGUAAACCGAGAGGAAGGUGGGGAUGACGUCAAAUCAGCACGGCCCUUAUGUCCAGGGCUACACACGUGUUACAAUGGCCGGUACAAUGGGCAGCUACCUGGCAACAGGAUGCUAAUCUCCAAAACCGGUCCCAGUUCGGAUCGGAGUCUGCAACUCGACUCCGUGAAGUUGGAUUCGCUAGUAAUCGUAUAUCAGCAAUGAUACGGUGAAUACGUUCCCGGGCCUUGUACACACCGCCCGUCAAACCAUGGAAGCUGGGGGUGCCUGAAGUACGUUACCGCAAGGAGCGUCCUAGGGUAAAACUGGUGACUGGGGUUAAGUCGUAACAAGGUA
rnacentral:rRNA from 1 species